rnacentral:rRNA from 1 species
UACGUAGGGACCAAGCGUUGUUCGGAUUUACUGGGCGUAAAGGGCGCGUAGGCGGCAAUUCAAGUCAGUUGUGAAAUCUCCGAGCUUAACUCGGAACGGUCAACUGAUACUGUCUUGCUAGAGUACGGAAGGGGCAAUCGGAAUUCUUGGUGUAGCGGUGAAAUGCGUAGAUAUCAAGAGGAACACCUGAGGUGAAGACGGGUUGCUGGGCUGAUACUGACGCUGAGGCGCGAAAGCUAGGGUAGCAAACGGG